CUGGCACUGACCAGGCUGCAUGUACAUUCAGUGAAACACUCGACUGUGUGAAAAUCACCAAAACCACUUUAGAAGGAAGGAAAUCACACAGAAGCAGUAGGAAAUGCUGGGCUCCCUGAUGACAGUGCUGUUCCUUGUGGCCAGGAUGAUGAGGAAGUUUGGGGCUGAGAUGUUCAGGGAGGAGCCUGUACGCUAUCGGGUGUACCAGCCUUUGCCCUGGUAUGUGCAGAGUGUCAGUCGCAAUCGGAAUCACCGAUCCAGCCAGCUCGAUGAGAAGGAUGUAGGACCUCGGUGAAGCAGUAUUAACUUGGUGAAAGGCAUACCACAUUCUUCAUCAGAGGAAAAGAACGGUUUCCUAGAAUCUAACUGUGAGAGAGCCACUGUCACCAUACAGACACUGUACAGGAGGCACCAGCAAUGGAAAAACUGUGAAAGUAACCUAUAAAGGCUGAAAUGUGCCUUGUUGAGGGCUUUACUACAAAGUGUAAUGGUUGCAUUUCUCUGCAAUGUAAUACCAACUGCAGGAAGAUUAAAUUAGUUACAAACAGGUGAUGAGUCUGUUGUAUCAUGCCAUGCCUCAAAAAAAUAAAAUAGUU